rnacentral:rRNA from 1 species
GAUGAACGCUGGCGGCGUGCCUAAUACAUGCAAGUCGAGCGAACGGACGAGAAGCUUGCUUUUCUGAUGUUAGCGGCGGACGGGUGAGUAACACGUGGAUAACCUACCUAUAAGACUGGGAUAACUUCGGGAAACCGGAGCUAAUACCGGAUAAUAUUUUGAACCGCAUGGUUCAAAAGUGAAAGACGGUCUUGCUGUCACUUAUAGAUGGAUCCGCGCUGCAUUAGCUGGUUGGUAAGGUAACGGCUUACCAAGGCAACGAUGCAUAGCCGACCUGAGAGGGUGAUCGGCCACAUGGGAGCUGAGACGCGGUCCAGACUCCUACGGGAGGCAGCAGUAGGGAAUCUUCCGCAAUGGGCGAAAGCCUGACGGAGCAACGCCGCGUGAGUGAUGAAGGUCUUCGGAUCGUAAAACUCGGUUAUGAGGGAAGAACAUAUGUGUAAGUAACUGCGCACAUCUUGACGGUACCUAAUCAGAAAGCCACGGCUAACUACGUG